UACGUAGGGGGCAAGCGUUGUCCGGAAUCAUUGGGCGUAAAGAAGCGUGUAGGCGGUCCGGUCAGUCGGUUGUGAAAGUCAAGGGCUCAACCCUUGAAUGCCGGCCGAUACUGCCGGGCUAGAGUCCGGAAGAGGUGAGUGGAAUUCCUGGUGUAGCGGUGAAAUGCGCAGAUAUCAGGAGGAACACCGAUGGCGAAGGCAGCUCACUGGGACGGUACUGACGCUGAGGAGCGAAAGCGUGGGGAGCGAACAGG
rnacentral:rRNA from 1 species